rnacentral:rRNA from 1 species
GAUGAACGCUGGCGGCGUGCCUAAUACAUGCAAGUCGAGCGAACGGACGAGAAGCUUGCUUCUCUGAUGUUAGCGGCGGACGGGUGAGUAACACGUGGAUAACCUACCUCUAAGACUGGGAUAACUUCGGGAAACCGGAGCUAAUACCGGAUGAUAUUUUGAACCGCAUGGUUCAAAAGUGAAUGACGGUCUUGCUGUCACUUAUAGAUGAAUCCGCGCUGCAUUAGCUAGUUGGUAAGGUAACGGCUUACCAAGGCAACGAUGCAUAGCCGACCUGAGAGGGUGAUCGGCCACACUGGAACUGAGACACGGUCCAGACUCCUACGGGAGGCAGCAGUAGGGAAUCUUCCGCAAUGGGCGAAAGCCUGACGGAGCAACGCCGCGUGAGUGAUGAAGGUCUUCGGAUCGUAAAACUCUGUUAUUAGGGAAGAACAUAUGUGUAAGUAACUGUGCACAUCUUGACGGUACCUAAUCAGAAAGCCACGGCUAACUACGUG